CCUACGCGUGGCAGCAGUGAGGAAUAUUGGUCAAUGGGCGCGAGCCUGAACCAGCCCAGUAGCGUGAAGGAUGACUGCCCUACGGGUUGUAAACUUCUUUUAUAAAGGAGUAAAGUGAGGCACGUGGGCCUUUUUGUAUGUACUUUAUGAAUAAGGAUCGGCUAACUCAGUGCAAGCAGCCGCGGUAAUACGGAGGAUCCGAGCGUUAUCCGGAUUUAUUGGGUUUAAAGGAAGCGUAGAUGGGUGGUUAAGGCAGUUGUGAAAGUUUGCGGCUCAACCGUAAAAUUGCAAUUGAUACUGGCAGUCUUGAGUACAGUUGAGGUAGGCGGAAUUCGUGGUGUAGCGGUGAAAUGCUUAGAUAUCACGAAGAACUCCGAUUGCGAAGGCAGCUUACUAAACUGCCACUGACAUUGAUGCUCGAAAGUGUGGGUAUCAAACAGGAUUAGAUACCCUUGUAGUC
rnacentral:rRNA from 1 species